rnacentral:rRNA from 1 species
UACGUAGGGGGCGAGCGUUACCCGGAUUUACUGGGCGUAAAGCGCGUGUAGGCGGCUGGUCAAGCGUGGUGUGAAAUCUCCGGGCUCAACCCGGAAACUGCAUUGCGAACUGACCUAGCUGGAGUGCAGGAGAGGGCAGCGGAAUUCCCGGUGUAGCGGUGAAAUGCGUAGAUAUCGGGAAGAACACCAGUGGCGAAGGCGGCUGCCUGGCCUGUAACGUGACGCUGAGACGGCGAAAGCGUGGGGAGCGAACCGG